ACCUAGGUAUAUGUUGUUUAGUGUUUGUUUUAACAUUUUAUCUUGGUUUCUCUAACCAUCUAAUAUUUGUACUAGUUUAAAUUACUGUUUGCAAAAAACUGUUGUGCUGUGGAAUCGGUUACCCUUGCUAUAAAUAAUAAAUGAGUCGGGCGAGAAUGACAGUCUCAGUAUUAUUCUCAGCUUUUUCUUUGAAUAAUGGUUUGUCGCUUUUACUUAUACCUAAAGAAGAGGACGGCCGUGGCCGGGUUCGAACUGACGAUAGUGAAAAUACGUGAUGGUAUAAAUUGGUGAUCAAAUUCUAUCAACUUCUCCAUCCUGUUUGUCUCAAAAUUCAAAAAUUAAAUCAUUUCCAAAGAUAUGUUGGGAAUCUAAAAAUUCAUGAUCUUCAAAAUCAUCAAAUAGAGAUGCUCCAUCAUCAUCUUCUGCUGAUGAACUAUCACCAAUUUUCAAAACAGCCAUCCCUUCACAAUCUUCCGAACAGUUUUCAACUAAAUAUUCAUAUAAUUGGAGACCAGUAACAGAUUAACUCACCCAUCAUUAUAUACACGGGAUUUACCAAUUUGAAUUGGUUGAAAGCCACUAAAAAGAGGAUCAGUCUCAAUAUAUUGAGCAUAUGCAACUGUCAAUCUAGCACAUAAUCGUUUGUGCCAUUGAGGAGCCUGU